UACGUAGGGGGCAAGCGUUGUCCGGAAUUACUGGGCGUAAAGCGCGUGUAGGCGGCAAUGCAAGUCGGGCGUGAAAUCCCCAGGCUCAACCUGGGAACUGCGUCCGAUACUGGCAGGCUUGAAUCCGGGAGAGGGAUGUGGAAUUCCAGGUGUAGCGGUGAAAUGCGUAGAUAUCUGGAGGAACACCGGUGGCGAAGGCGGCAUCCUGGACCGGUAUUGACGCUGAGGCGCGAAAGCUAGGGGAGCAAACGGG
rnacentral:rRNA from 1 species